CAGCCGCGCCGCCCACCGCCUCCUAUCUCUGCUCUGUAACUGAAAUUCUGUCUUGAAAAAGAAUUAGGGUUACAGGGGUUAUAUACAGGGUGAACACAUUCUUAAUUUAUUUUGUUUUAUUGAGUAGGAUUUUUACUGUCGUCUGCCUUUUGCCUUUUACAACGUUAUUUUGUCUCUUUGUGCGUGUUGGAAAUUUAUGCCAGUGACGAUCCACCUCGAAAAGCCUGCCUAGUCCGCGUACGUGUUAAGUUCGGGAAGGUUAUGACAGGUGCCACUUAGUGAUGCAUUUCUAGUGUGUUUUCCAAGCUUUUAUCAAAAUGGAACCCGGGAUGCGUGAUAAUACAGAAGAGGUGGCGGCGCCGACGCCGGCCGGUGGACCGGGCGCGCCGGGCGGAGGCGCGGUGGCG